CAUUAACUCAUUGCAAGCGAAAAUCGCUAUUCAUUAUUUGUCACGGGUGAUAUCACUUUAAAUAAAAAUAACAAUUUCUCUAAGUGAUAAUGCAUUAAAUGUAGCAAUAAUUUCCAUACAUACACCAAGCGCAACUCGAGACCACAUCAACAAGCUCCCCACAAGCGAAAUCUCCAGCUGGUAGCAGCGCUGGGGCCGCUGCGAGCGCAUCCAGCGCUGCAGGAGAGCGGACACCAACAGCGCAGAAUAAACAGCUGCAAAAUG